UGUUUGAGUUUUUUUAGAGACAGGGUUUUGCCAUGUUGCCCAGGCUGCUUUUGAACCCUUGGGCUCAAUAUUCACAAUAGCCAAAAGGUGGAAGCAACGCUAGUGUGUAUAAGCAGAUGAGUGGAUAAACCAACUGUGACACACAUAUGCAGUGGAAUAUUAUUCAGCCUUGAAAAAGAAGGAAAUUCUGACACAUGCUACAACACAGAUGAACUUUGAGGACAUUAUGCUAAGCGAGAAAGGCAGUCACAAAAGGACAAAUACGGCAUGAUUCCGUUCAUAUCAGGUACCCAGUGUAGACAGAAAGUAGAAUGGUGGUUGCCAGGGACUGUGGGGAGGGAAGACUGGUGAGUUGUUUUUUAAU
rnacentral:lncRNA from 1 species